GCACCGCUGAAGAGUCCCAUACUAGGAAGAAACGGCCGUCCAGUAC
rnacentral:hammerhead_ribozyme from 1 species